UGGGUCGGCCGGACGGCCGCGUCGCGCGCAAGCGCGCCGAGGAACGUCCGGGCUCCACAGGGCAGGGCGGUGGGUAACACCCACCCGGAGCGAUCCGCGAGAAAGGGCAACAGAGAGUAGACCGCCGGCCUCGGCCGGUAAGGGUGAAACGGUGGUGUAAGAGACCACCAGGGGCCGUGGUGACACGGCUCGCUGGGUAAACCUCGCCCGGAGCAAGACCAACAGGGGAUGAUGACGCGGCCCGCCGAGUCCCCGGGUAGGUUGCUGGAGCGGCACGGCAACGUGUCGCCGAGAGAGAUGGCCGUCGACGGAGCGUCACGCUCCCGAACAGAACCCGGCGUACAGGCCGGCCCAUUCG
rfam:Microbacterium sediminis strain YLB-01 Scaffold1_1, whole genome shotgun sequence.